rnacentral:rRNA from 1 species
GAUCCAGUUCCCAAUAGCGUAUUAGUCGUGAGUUAAGCCGAUGAUCUGACUGGCUGGCCGUCGCUCACCGGUGCAUGUCCGCCGCCUCCUCGGACGCAUGGCUCUUGCGUGCGGAACAGACUUUACUUGAAAAAUAGAGUGCUCAGCAGCUAUGCUCGAAUACAUAGCAUGGAUAUGAAAUAGGACGUGCGUUCUAUUUUGUUGUUCUAGGACCGCGUAAUGAUUAAUAGGACAGUCGGGGCAUCAGUAUUCAAUGUCAGAGGUGAAAUCUUGGAUUUAUUGAAGACUAACUACUGCGAAAGCAUUUGCCAAGGAUGUUUUCAUUAAUCAGGAACGAAAGUUAGGGGAUCGAAGACGAUCAGAUACCGUCGUAGUCUUAACCAUAAACUAUGCCGACUAGGGAUCGGACGAUGUUACUUAUUGACUCGUUCGGCACCUUACGAGAAAUCAAAGUGCUUGGGCUCCAGGGGGAGUAUGGUCGCAAGGCUGAAACUUAAAGAAAUUGACGGAAGGGCACCACCAGGGGUGGAGCCUGCGGCUUAAUUUGACUCAACACGGGGAAACUCACCAGGUCCAGACACAAUAAGGAUUGACAGAUUGAGAGCUCUUUCUUGAUUUUGUGGGUGGUGGUGCAUGGCCGUUCUUAGUUGGUGGAGUGAUUUGUCUGCUUAAUUGCGAUAACGAACGAGACCUUAACCUGCUAACUAGCCCGUAUUGCUUUGGCAGUACGCCGGCUUCUUAGAGGGACUAUCGGCUCAAGCCGAUGGAAGUUUGAGGCAAUAACAGGUCUGUGAUGCCCUUAGAUGUUCUGGGCCGCACGCGCGCUACACUGACGGAGCCAGCGAGUACUCCCUUGGCCGGAAGGCCCGGGUAAUCUUGUUAAACUCCGUCGUGCUGGGGAUAGAGCAGUGCAAUUAUUGCUCUUCAACGAGGAAUCCCUAGUAAGCGCAAGUCAUCAGCUUGCGUUGAUUACGUCCCUGCCCUUUGUACACACCGCCCGUCGCUACUACCGAUUGAAUGGCUCAGUGAGGCGUUCGGACUGGCCCAGAGAGGUGGGCAACUACCACUCAGGGCCGGAAAGUUCUCCAAACUCGGUCAUUUAGAGGAAGUAAAAGUCGUAACAAGGUCUCCGUAGGUGAACCUGCGGAAAUCGUCGAACG